rnacentral:rRNA from 1 species
GACGUAACGCUGGGCGGCGUGCCUAACACAUGCAAGUCGAACGGGGUAAGAGCGUUCGGUUCUUUACUUAGUGGCGAACGGGUGAGUAACGCGUGAGAAACCUGCCUCUCAGUGGGGGACAACAGUUGGAAACGACUGCUAAUACCGCAUAAUAUAUUCGAAGGGCAUCCUUUGAAUAUCAAAGCUUUAUGUGCUGAGAGAUGGUCUCGCGUCUGAUUAGAUAGUUGGUGAGGUAACGGCUCACCAAGUCGACGAUCAGUAGCCGGUCUGAGAGGAUGAACGGCCACAUUGGGACUGAGAUACGGCCCAG